UACGUAGGGGGCUAGCGUUGUCCGGAAUCAUUGGGCGUAAAGAGCGUGUAGGCGGUCCGGUAAGUCCGCUGUGAAAGUCCAGGGCUCAACCCUGGAAUGCCGGUGGAUACUGCCGGGCUAGAGGGUGGUAGAGGCGAGUGGAAUUCCCGGUGUAGCGGUGAAAUGCGCAGAUAUCGGGAGGAACACCAGUAGCGAAGGCGGCUCGCUGGGCCUUCCUGA
rnacentral:rRNA from 1 species